GGAUUUUAAAUGUGGACAGGAAUUUAAAUCCUUGUUGGGCACAUAGCAGCUAUGGUACCAUGGGCAUGAUACCUAACCUCUGUAAGGUACAAUGGGGAUAAUUAUAUUCCCCUCUUAGGGAGGUCAUGAAAAUGAGUUGAGAUAAAACAUAUGAAAGCACCCAGCACUGGCAUGCUCAGUCCAUAUUAGUUUCUCAUUCUCUUCAUUAUUUUCAUUAUCAUCAUUGUCACAUUCUCACCUUUUUUCAUCAUUGUCAGUAGCAGUCGCAUCAACCCAGUGUCCUGACUUUCAAGACAACCAUGAAAACGCCCCAACUGCUGCUAAAUUACCAGCAACAAGGAUCUGGAAUUUUCUUGACAAGAGCAGUGCCUAUCCUGAGGCAAUCGUAUUUCUCCUUGACUUCUCUCCAGUAUCAGCUUGUUGCUUGACACCACUGCACAGCCAACUGUAUAAUGUGGACAUUCUUACAAAAAAGAAAGAACACCGAAAUUGACCUUACCCUGACAAUAUGAUGGCUGAAGGAUUUAUGAUCACUUGUAACAUUUGAAAUUGAGGCAGAAUCUCAAGAAUACGACUCUGGUGAAAGGUCCUAUUUAUGCUUUUGAUGUCUUUCAGUUGGACAUUUACCAUAUGCCUAUUGGUAGGUUUUUUUACACCAGGACAGUGAAGGUGAUACAGGAAUAAAUAAAACACUAUCCCUAUCCUUUAAUAUCAUUUAUUUAUGGGGUCAAUCAUAGCUUUACAUUUUUCAAAAUCUUUGAUAAAUGUCAGAAUUAUGUUUUUUAACAUUUUUACAGAAUUAUUACUAUAUAUGAUAGAGGAUGGAAGGCAAGGUAGUAUGAAAUGGAAGAUAUUUUGAAUUAAGAUAUUUGGACCUGGGUUCAUAUUUUUGCUUUGGUCUUUAUUAACUGAGUGACCUUGGGAAAGUUCUUCUACUAAAAAAGAAUAAAGAUACUAAUUACUUCAUGAAAUUGCUGUGAAAAGCACAUAACAAGUAUAUCCACACUCAACAGUGUAUGCUCAGAAAUGAAGCUCCCUUUUCUCUUACCUGCAGAUAAAGUCUUACAGUAAUACAGUGGGGGUAAAGGUUUAAAUUGGGGGAUUCAAGAAGGUUAUAGAAAGAGGUAGCAUUUUCAUAGGGGAAGGAUAGAGUCCAAGAAAUCAGAUCCAUUUUCUACAAAAAGAAAUAGGAAGACAGAUAAUUCAAGAAGAAAAGUUUACAUGAUUGAAGACCUGAAGUUAGAAAUAGUGAUGUGUCUCAAUAGGAAGUUAGGAAUUGGGGUGGACACAGUUGUUGGAAGAAAGAUGGUUUCAGCAAAGGCCCGAGAGGUGACAAUUUCAAGGGUUUGUGAAGAUGUAUGAAAGAAACAUUAUAAAGUAGUUAGGAUAUAAGAAAUAGAGAGGAGGGAAUGAAUUAGCAUUUAUUGAGUGUCUUGCAUGUUCCAAGCACUGUACUACUUGCCUUAUAAACCUUUUUUCAAUAAACGCCUACAACAAUCCUGAGAUGUGGAUAUUAUUAGUUCCUCAAUGGACCCGGAGAGUUUCAAUUAUGUGCUUAAGAUCAUAGAGUUAGUAAAGGACAGAGACAGAAUUCAAAUGUAAGCCCAUGUUACUCCACAUCCUAUGCAUUCACUAAGCCUCUCAGGAAAACCAGUUUAUUGGACCUUGUAAUCAUUUAAGAAUGAGAUGAUAGAAGACUAUUUCAGUCUUCUAUCUACCCUAUUUCAGGGUAGUAGCCAAAGGAAAAAAAAAAAAAGAGAUGAAGGGAUAAGUGGAUGGAUGGACAAAUGAAUGGAGAGAUAGAUGAAUAGAUGAGCGAAUAAACAAACACGAAGAUGGAUAACAAGAUGGAUAUAUGGAAAGUCAAUGAAUGAGUGGAUGAUUGCAAGAGGUGUGGAGGUAAGCUCAAAACAUGAAAGAACUGGAAGAAGGAGGAAUUAAAUAUAACAUCUGGUGCUGGAACAUCUAGUAAAAUCUGACGUUAAUGAAGAAAAACACAAGAAAGAACAAGUUGCUAAAAAUGGGGGAAAGAAGUCAGUUCUGUGACACAGAAUAAAAAAUUUUUAUGGGAAUUAUCUGCUAAAACAUUGUUAAAUGUGAAUAUGCUUGAGCAUUGAAUGAUUUGCCUAGACAGAGCAGCCUCUUUUUCCAAGAGGUAGGUUUUGCUGCCGGGUAUGGACAAACAAACUGGCUGGACUUUCAUGGAAAAAUUUGAGCCAAGAUGGUCACAGAAGUCACCAUCCUGCUCACAUCUGGAUUUUAAUGGAAGUAGUCAAUUAGUGAAAAAAAUAAAAAAAGGGACAUAAAUUAUUCAAAUGCUUGGCAAGCAAAAGAACAGGUUGUUUCUCCUUAUAAACUCUGUGUUAGAGUCAUGUGACAACAGAUCACCCAUAAAGAAUGCUUUCUGAGGAUUCUAGGGGUGUCUUUCAGUUGGUAAAAAUGCUCAUUCAUACUUGAGGUCCAGUUCCAAUGUAAGCUCCUGUCUGAAACCUUCCUCAUCUAUAUGGACUUUACUGGGUCAACUUAGUUCAAGUAGACUUAUGCCUCCUAGAAUUUCCUUUCUUACAUUGUUUCAAGUUAGCAUGGGUCUUAGGAGACAUUUUGCAUGAGUUUUGGAAGGAUGAAUUAAAGCAGAAGCCGUAGUUAGUUAACAUUCAGAGGGUCAAUGCAGGAACACCAGGUGCUAUUGCAAACCAUGUCCAUUGCUACUUAUCUGCUUGCAAACCUUGUUGGUCUGGGCCAACAGCCAGACUAGCAGCAAUUCCACCUCCCACUGGAUCCUUCUUCAGUUUUUUUUAACUCCUGGCUUGCAUGUGAAUUUAGUGCGUGAAGAGACACCACCUCUUCAGGACUCAAACAUUACUAAAGUUGGAGGCUGGAAGACAAUGAGAAACUGAGGCAGAUUCUAGGCUGUUCUCCAUCUUUGCAGGCUCCAGUUCAUCCUUGCUCUCUCACACUUCAUAUCAACUUCCUUGCCCAACUCUCUGCCCUACUAACUUCAGGCUCCAGAACUAGUAGUGGCAAAGAUGGUCAGUAGUCUGCAAACUAUGACCCGCAGAGCAAAUCCAAACCACUGCCUGUUUUUGUAAAUGAAAUUUUGUUGGCACAUAGCCAGAUCCAUGUGUUUAUUAAUUGCUUGGGGCUGCUUCUGUGCUUCAGAGAUCGUAUGUCUCCCAAAACCUAAAAUAUGUAUUGUCUGCUCCUUUAAAGAAAAGGUUUGCCAAAUCUGAGCAAAGAUAGUAACCAUAUACAGGCUGUUAAACCAACUUCCACAAUCAUGUAAGGUCAAAUCCC
ensembl:lncRNA